rnacentral:misc_RNA from 1 species
GAUGAAGAACGCAGUGAAAUGCGAUAAGUAAUGUGAAUUGCAGAAUUCAGUGAAUCAUCGAAUCUUUGAACGCACAUUACGCCCCUUGGUAUUCCGAGGGGCAUGCCUGUUCGAGCGUCAUUAUAACCCCUCAAGCUCAGCUUGGUGUUGGGGCCUGCUGCACUGGCAGCCCUUAAAAUCAGUGGCGGCGCCAUCUGGCUCUAAGCGUAGUAAUUCUUCUCGCUAUGGAGUCCUGGUGGAUGCUUGCCAUCAACCCCCAAUUUUUCUAUGGUUGACCUCGGAUCAGGUAGGGAUACCCGCUGAACUUAAGCAUAUCAAUAAGCGGAGGA